ensembl:lncRNA novel transcript
GCCAAAGAAGCAAGCCACACGCCAUCACACGCCCUGCCAGGGGGAUAAGGGAACUUUUCCUGUUUCAACUGGGACCUCGCCCAGGAUCCCGGAAGGGAUUCCAGCAUUUGUCCCAGCAUGUUUUAUGCAGAAAGAAGUGAUCAAGGAAAGUGUCCAAGACAUGGUCAACUUGUUUGAAUGUAGUCUCCUGAGAAGAAUAAUUCACUGUCAAGUCAUACCGUACUGUUUAUAUGAAUGUGCUGAUUGUGAAGACUUAAUUUGUGUAAUUAAAGGAGCGGAACAAAAAAAUAAGGAUACAUCAAAAUUGCAUUGAUAUGAUGAAAUGGCAAGAAUGAAUCUCAUAAUUAGGAGACCAGAAGCAUCAGAGACCCAAGCACCAAAAUUGGAAAACAUUUUUUCACAGGGCCCUGUCAUUUCUGCAUAUCUUGUGAUAAGAGGUACUAAGGGCACUUUGUUGUAGAUUAUCUUUCCAAAGAUAUUUAUAAAAGGAACAAGUUUGAACAACGUCUCCUUCUAGAGCAAAAGAUAGGCAUGCUUUCUUCCCAUUAUAAAAAUGCAGAUUCUUUUAACUCAAGGUUCCUUUUGUUUAAUUUCAACCACACUGCAUGUGCUAGCAUCCAUCUAGUCUAUUCUGCACCAUCCCAUGGGAUGGAGGGGUAAAGGAAACUGAUGCAAAUUUGUGCAUGUUCAUGUUGCUUGCUGUACACUGACACAGAAAUCGUCUACCUUAUAGUAGUAUCCACAGAGCUUGUUAGAUGUCAACUUAGGUAACAUCUCAAACCUUUCAUACUUCUGCACAGUUUUGGGAAUGAAGAUGGGAUGCUGACAGAAAUACAGCUUUCUGAAAAGAAAACAUAAGGGCGUGGUAGGCCAAUUAACCUAAUUUGAAGGAACACCAUCAGAAUAAAUAGCAAAUGUGUUGAACAAACUGUAUGGUAAAUUGGGCAAAAUAGUCCUCUUCUUUAUUGCCUGUUGAUGAGAAGAAAACAGGACAGUAGUUAGAAGAUGAGUACUUGAAAUAGUUUCAGAGACAAGUUCCUGAACAAUAUCCUUAUUGUUUACUAUCCUUUAGGCGGAGAAUUUCUUAAAGAACUGGUGGUCAGCCUUGUUCCAUUUGAUUGCAACAACUAGUGCUAAGAUAUGUCCUCUUUCAGACAAUAGUUAGAAAAGCAUGUGCCUAAGCUGAAUGAGAACAAAAAAAAAA